rnacentral:rRNA from 1 species
AACGCGAAGAACCUUACCUACUCUUGACAUCCUCGGAAUUUACAGAAUGUGGAAGUGCCUUCGGGAACCGAGAGACAGGUGCUGCAUGGCUGUCGUCAGCUCGUGUCGUGAGAUGUUGGGUUAAGUCCCGUAACGAGCGCAACCCUUAUCCUUAGUUGCCAGCGGGUCAUGCCGGGAACUUUAAGGAGACUGCCGGUGAUAAACCGGAGGAAGGUGGGGAUGACGUCAAGUCAUCAUGGCCUUUAUGAGUAGGGCUACACACGUGCUACAAUGGGAAAUACAAAGGGUUGCCAACCCGCAAGGGGGAGCCAAUCUCAGAAAAUUUCUCGUAGUCCGGAUUGGAGUCUGCAACUCGACUCCAUGAAGUUGGAAUCGCUAGUAAUCGCGAAUCAGAACGUCGCGGUGAAUACGUUCCCGGGCCUUGUACACACCGACGCGUA